rnacentral:tRNA from 2 species
GCCCUCUUAGCUCAGUGGUAGAGCACUUCCAUGGUAAGGAAGGGGUCGUGGGUUCAAUCCCCACAGAGGGCU